UACGGAGGGGGCUAGCGUUGUUCGGAAUUACUGGGCGUAAAGCGCGCGUAGGCGGAUCUGCAAGUCGGGGGGUGAAAUCCCGAGGCUCAACCUCGGAACUGCCUUCGAUACUGCGGGUCUCGAGUCCGGGAGAGGUGAGUGGAAUUCCUAGUGUAGAGGUGAAAAUUUCGUAGAUAUUAGGAAGAACACCAGUGGCGAAGGCGGCUCACUGGCCCGGUACUGACGCUGAGGCGGCGAAA
rnacentral:rRNA from 1 species